rnacentral:lncRNA from 1 species
GUGGACAGAUGCCAGUGGGGACAUCACGUAUCGUGUAACAUAUUUCAGCUCGAGGCUCUGAAAUGUCACAGGAUCCACAGAAUCCUUGAAGAACAGAGAGGACCUGAGCUUCUGAUGUGUCACUCAAAGGAGAGAUACUAUCAAGAUUCUGGAAAUCUGUGGCACAGCUGAACUUUUUGUGUCUGUAAGAAAACUCUGCAUUCAGACUGGAUGAAGGGCCCAAGCAGCUUGAACAAGAACUCUUCUCUCAGAGGAAUUUUUCCAGAUGGCUUUUCCAGCAACUCUUUCCCAUGGCAAUUCCAGCGAGGAUUUGGACAUCUGCUUCACAUCACGGUGUGAAGUGUGAAGCAUCAGGUUUUUGUAGCUGUCCCACUAUGAAGUGAAGGCUGCCCUCCUCACCCUGGCCCGUGUCAAGGCCACUUCCCUGGGCUCUGCACACCUGAUUUGGGCACUGCUCACUGCUGCCUGGGCUUGUGGAAAUCAGAGCUUGGGACAUGGAAGGAAAUUGAAUGAUUGAGGGGGAAACCAUCAUUGGAUUCACAGACACAGGACUGCCACGGGGCUGGGCAGAGCUGGAACCACCUCGUGGUCAGGGUGGAACUGCCCUGCACCGGGAGAUGGAGAAUUCAGGUGUCUGGGACAUGAAGUCUCUCCCCAGCCCUCCUGUUCUCCUGCUGCAUUUCUGGGGACAAUUCACACAGAUCUGCUCUGAGGAACUGGACUUUUCAAUGCAGAAACCCAGUUAACACAGCUU